GGGGGCGGGGCCCGCCGGACGGUUGGAGGCGGACGGUUGGGAGUUGGGCGGUGAAGAGAGCGGCGCGAGGCGGAGAGCGGCCGCGAGGGAAAAGUGAAAGAGAGACGGGACAUUUUGCGAAGGCGGCACUUGACGCGCCGGGAGGCCAUCGACACCUUCAGAUACAGCCUGUCAGCCGGAGGAGGCCGUGGUGGACAUUUGUCUCCGACUGGAGGAGGUGGAGAGAGAGAGAGAGGAGCCGACAACCUGUCUUUUUCCCCUUCUCUGUGGCUUUUCCUCAAUGGAUUACUUGAUCGCGGUGCAAAAAAAGCGUCGUCGCCUUGGCGAGGGACUGGUCGGCCGGGAGCCCGUGAGCCACGCUAAUAAAAAGCGGUUUUGCCAAGGAUUAGACAGUAGUUUCCCAGCUGAAAAUGGCUACUACACAGUCAGCUGAACUGGAGCUCUGUAGAUCAUCGAAAGCUACAAAACCAUGUUCAGUCCGAAGAACUGAUGGAUGUAAUCGUUGCCUUGCCUGAAACAGACAAAAUGGAAUAUCAAAGCCAGGUACGAGGAGGCACACCGAAACCUUGUCUACGUUGCAUGGCAGGUGAAUCUGGUCAUAUUAACCAUAUCAUGGCUGGCUAACCGGAAAAUUAAGAAUGUGGCAUACAGACUAAUUUUUCAUGUUAAAUUGAAGAUCAGAUACUGUAAGUCUUUUUGAUGGAAAUUUGAAGAUGCUGCAAGAGAAUACUAAAUCGUUUGAAUUAUGUUAGGUUACUGAUUUCAAGAAGCGUAGUCAAGUUUUACCUCAUAAAAGCAAAUUGGCAUUAUUGUUUCUCACCUGAACACAAUACUAGUCAUUGCUGUAUUAUUGUACUAAAUGCAGAGGCAUAUUGAUUCUCUUUUUUAACUAUUAGAAGUUCAGAGGUUCUUCAGCCAGACUUUUUCACAGAGUAUAUUUACAAAUGAAUUAAAAUGUUUGAAGUUUAAUGACUUGAAUCAAAAAUAAAUUGAGGUUAUUGCUAAAAUAUUUUAUUAGAUGACUAAUUUGAUAUUUAUUACAAUUUUGUAACUGAAUUUAUUCACUUAUUCAUUUUUGUUAAAACCAGUAUUUCAAUUUAUCGUAUUGGAUUUUUACCUGAAAGAUAACACAGUGCCUAUUAAUGUAUAAUAUUACUUUUAAUACUAAAACAGUUGAUAAGAACUUUUCCAACAUUUUUUACAAAGUUAAUGUGCUGAAAAAUAAACUUAACCAUUGUUAAUUAACUUGCAUAUACAGUUUACAGAUCAUUUCUACUUUUUUAAAAAAAGUCUUGCUUCCCUCCCCCUAUUUGCCAAUAUUAAUACAUUGUUUGGGCCUGAUUCUGAGUUUAGUAACUUGUUCCUGGGCCUUACUAAUGCAACUCUGUGACAAAUGUAAUAAGUAUCUAGGAGUUUUGAAAGUCACAUCUAGGUUGACACGUGCUAUUUUAUGAACAAAAUAAAGUCUGCUUACUUCCUCCACUCUGCUACUGCCUGUUAGCACAAAUCUGCAUCAUUUCACUUUUUUAGCAGUUCAUUUAGCUUACACCUGCAUACGUUACUAGCCACAAUAUUGGGAUGUAUUUCAAGGUGACAUACCUGGCAACAAAAUGUCGAAUCGAAUCAACCCUUUGUGGCAGUCUUUGUUGUCUGACUGGUUCCUGCGCCAGGUGGAUCUGCAUUACUUCAGGGCAUUGCUGAUGACAGCCCAGCCAGCUUGGCUCAUCAGCAGGUUGGA